ACGGCAUGAUGAGGACAUUUUAUGAUGAGAUCAUUUAAUCGUUCCCAUGAUUCAUGGAACUACUCACCAUCUUGUUCUGAGAAGCUAGUGAGAGCUCGUCUUAUCU
rnacentral:snoRNA from 1 species